rnacentral:pre_miRNA from 1 species
UCCAUGACCAGGAAUCCAUUCUAAACUUAUAAUGCUUUGACUCUUCUUCGUUUUAUUUGAAAUUUUUUUACGUUUAAUAAUUUUAUUGUUACUAGAUGAUAAAAUAUGAAUAGUGCUUUAUGCAUGACUAAUUUUUUUAAGUUUUUUUUGCAAUUUUUUUAAAUAAAACGAAUGGUUAAACUUUGGACACAUAAAUUGAAAAAUGAACCUAUU